GAUGAAGAACGUAGCGAAAUGCGAUAAGUAAUGUGAAUUGCAGAACUCAGUGAAUCAUCGAAUCUUUGAACGCACAUUGCGCCCCCUGGAAUUCCGGGGGGCAUGCCUGUUCGAGCGUCUCAGGGACGAACCCUCGCGCGGGUGUACGCGCGGUCGUGGCUGCGGUGGCGUGCCCGAGGCGGCGGCCACCGCGCUGGAAUCCAUGGGCGGACGCCUGCCGCGUGGCCGAGCGUGAUAUGACGCAUUGGCGCUCGCACGCGGAGAGGCUGCCAGCCCUGGCCCGUCUGUCGGGCGGGGGAGAGCAAGACACGUGAACUCCUCGAAUCAGGUAGGGAUACCCGCUGAACUUAAGCAUAUCAAUAAGCGGAGGA
rnacentral:misc_RNA from 1 species